AAAAGUACCCACGGAAAGCCUUGUUGCUCAUUAGUCGUUUUCAAUCUUAUAGGUUAAAGUCCUCAAGCAACAGAAACGGGAAAACAGCAAUUGAAACCAGAGGCCAGUUUGGGAGAUCCCGAGGUGACGGCAAGAGUGGAUGCCCAGCAUGGAGGACUACACAGUCCUGAGAGUGAUUGGCCAAGGCUCAUUCGGCAGGGCUCUUCUGGUGCAGAAAGAAAGCAGCAAUCAGAAGUUUGCCAUGAAGGAAGUAAGACUUCCCAAGUCUUUCUCUGAAACACAGAAUUCUAGGAGAGAGGCUGUUCUGCUAGCUAAAAUGAAACACCCCAAUAUUGUUGCCUUUAAAGAGUCAUUUGAAGCUGAAGGGCAUCUGUAUAUUGUGAUGGAGUACUGUGAUGGAGGGGAUCUAAUGCAGAAGAUUAAACAGCAAAAAGGAAAGUUACUUCCUGAAGAUAUGAUACUUAACUGGUUCAUACAAAUUUGUCUUGGAGUAAAUCACAUUCACAAGAAACGAGUGUUACACAGAGAUAUCAAGUCCAAAAAUGUCUUCCUCACCCAAAGUGGGAAAGUGAAAUUGGGAGAUUUUGGCUCUGCCCGCCUCCUCUCCAGUCCCAUGGCCUUUGCAUGUUCAUAUGUGGGAACACCUUAUUAUGUGCCUCCUGAGAUUUGGGAAAACCUGCCUUAUAACAAUAAAAGUGACAUCUGGUCCUUGGGAUGCAUUCUGUAUGAACUCUGCGCCCUGAAACAUCCGUUUCAGGCAAAUAGUUGGAAAAAUCUUAUCCUGAAAAUAUGUCAAGGGCCCAUCCACCCCCUGCCAGCUCAGUAUUCCUACAAGCUUCAAUGUCUUGUCAAGCAGAUGCUGAAAAGGAGUCCUUCGCAGCGCCCGUCCACUACUACCCUGCUUUGCAGAGGCAGCUUAGCGCCACUCGUCCUGAAGUGCUUACCCCCUGAGAUCAUCAGAGAAUAUGGAGAGCAAAUACUGGAUGAAACCAAAAUAUCUGAGCCUAAGAAACUGAAAAAAGGGGCAGACCCCAGCAGAAUGAGGAGAGCUUCAGGAGGGGAAGCAAAUACCAUGCAUGAUAAAAAGUGUACCCAUUCUGAAUUGGAAAGCACACGUACACACUCAUUUGGAAGUGCAUUGAGGAGAGGAAUUGCAGAAUCAGGUAGUCCAUCAGCACACCAGAAGAGUGCCGCUCCAGCAAGCCCUCCCAGGCAGCAGUGGGAGAGACGUGUUCCCAGUUCCGUGCUAACAGCUUUGGAAAAAGCACCCAUCCUUACCUACAGUUUCAAGGCAGAGGAUGACAGAGGUGGUUCUGUAAUAAAGUACAGUGAAAAUCAUGCCCGUAAGCAGUGGCUCAGAGAGCCCCCCGAGACCUUGUUGUCAAUGCUGAAGGAUGCUGAUCUCAGCCUGGCAUUUCAAACAUACACAAUAAAUAGACCAGGUACGGAAGGAUUCUUGAAAGGUCCCCUUUCUGAAGAAACAGCAUCAGACAGUGUCGAUGGAGAUCAAGAUUCUGUCGUUUUGGAUCCAGAGAGAUUUGAGCCUCGGCUGGAUGAGGAAGACACGGACUUUGAGGAAGAUGAUGAAAACCCUGACUGGGUGUCAGAACUAAAGAAGCAAGUGGGACGGCAGGAUGUAUGUGAUGGGAAACUCCUCGGAGAAUGUGCCUGAGCCAUGUGGGGAGACACUGAUGAUUGGAAACAGAAUGAAGACUGAGAAAAUGUACCACAAGCUUAAAUACCAACCCAGUCCCUUUGCUGGGGAUCAAACCCAGGACCUUAUGAAUGCAAGGCAAGUAAUCUACCAUAGCUAUUUCAUCACAGCCCAGCUUUUGUUUAUCUUAACAUGCAAAGGCUGCUGUGCAAACCCCCACCCUGGCUGUCUAUCUCCUUGUAUGUACGCAGUCAUUUAGUCAGUGUUAGAUCUCUGGCAAUUUCUGGCUUCCCUUGCCAUUUUUGAGGAUUGCUGGUUAGGUAUUUUGUUUUUAUCCUCAAUUUGGGUGUGUCCAGUGUUCUUCACAAAGGUAAGCCCUGUCUUCAUGUCCACUCAGGGAGUACAUGACGUCAGCAUGGUGUGCCACAGAUGCUGCCUGCCUCCAUUAGUAGGUACUGAUUUCCCCAUCCCUGUUCUGCUCACUGUCGAUAACUGAGGCCUCACUGAUGCCAAGAGGAUUUGAUUCUACCUGUGUUAGAGCAAGAGUGUAAUGUUACCCUGAGUCACUGGUUUGGUUGCCUAAUUGUUUCCAGCUGGUUUUAUGCACUUUUGUGAUGUUCUUAUCAUUUUAAAUUACUAAAUUAAAUUAGAUAAAGUAGGA